rnacentral:rRNA from 1 species
GAAUAAGGGCGUAUGGUGGAUGCCUAGACUUAAAGAGACGAUGAAGGACGUGGCUUAGCUACGAUAAGCUUCGGGGAGGCGCUGAGCGGCCUUUGAUCCGGAGAUCUCCGAAUGGGGAAACCCAACACCGUAAAUCGGUGUUAUCCCGCCUUUGGCGGGAAGGAAACCCCGGGAAGUGAAACAUCUCAGUACCGGGAGGAAAAGAAAACAAUGUGAUUCCCUGAGUAGCGGCGAGCGAAAUGGGAAUAGCCUAAACCUUACUUUUUAUUAAGUAAGGGGUUGCAAGGUAAUAGCGAAUGAAGCAAUUCUAAGUGAGUUUUAAUCUUGUUAGCUGAAUCCGUUGGAAAGCGGAGCCAAAGAAGGUAAUAGCCCUGUAAACGAAAACAUGAUUAUACUUUCAGUUAUUAUUCUUAAGUACUUCGAGACACGAAUGGCUCGGAGGAAUCUGCCGGAACUAACCGGCAAGGCUAAAUACUCUUUAAGAUCGAUAGUGAACAAGUACCGCGAGGGAAAGGUGAAAAGUAGCCCGAUGAGGGCGUUGAAAUAGAACCUGAAACCAUAUGUCUACAAGGAGUCGAAGUCUCGACGCAAGUCGUGGACGACGGCGUGCCUAUUGAAGAAUGAGCCAACGAGUUAAUUUGUGUUGCUGUCUAAGUCCGAGAGGACGGAGACACAGCGAAAGCGAGUCUUAAAAGGGCGAUCAAAAGUAUUACAAAUUAGACCCGAAGCCAGGUGAACUUGCCAUGGGCAGGAUGAAUUCCGCAGAAAUGCGGGAGGAGGUCCGAACCGGUUNNUCUCUCCGAAAUAGCUUUAGGGCUAGCGUUUGUCUUACCUUCCGGGGGUAGAGCACUGGAAGGAUUGAACAGGGGGAAACCUCGUCAAUCCUAUCAAACUCCGAAUACCGGAAGUAAUUGGCAGACAGUUAGACUGUGAGGGCUAAGCUUCACUAGUCAAAAGGGAAAGAGCCCAGAUCUCAAUCUAAGGUCCCUAAAUUUCUACUAAGUGCACUUAAGGAGGUGAAAUUUCUCAGACAACGAGGAAGUUGGCUUAGAAGCAGCCAUCUUUUAAAGAAUGCGUAACAGCUCACUCGUUAAGAGAUCUUGCACCGCAAAUAAUCGGGGCUAAGUAGAGUACCGAAGGUGAGGAUGUUCCGCUUUUAGCGGAACAUGGUAGGAGAGUGUUCGCAUCUGCUGUGAAGCUGUGUCGUGAGGCACGGUGGAGCGUUGCGAAGUAAGAAUGUUGGCACAAGUAACCACAAUCAGCCUGAAAACGGCUGACGCCGAAAAUCCAAGGUUUCCUUGGCAAUGACGAUCAACCAAGGGUUAGUCGGGCCUAAGGCAAUGGCGAAAGCCGCAGCCGAUGGACACACGGUUAAUAUUCCGUGACUUCCGUAUUUUUAAUGGAGUGACGAAGAUUAGUAUGCUAGGCGCAUUACUGGAUUUGCGUUAUUGGCGUAAGGAACGCAGGCAGGAAAAUCCGCCCGCGCCCGCAAGGGAAAUUCCAAGCGCAAAUGAAAUAUUCCGUUUAUAGCGGAAUAAAUUUAGCAAAGCAGUCUUCCAAGAAAAGCUUCUAAGCCCCGCUUUAGCGGGGAAAGAAAUACGGAAACCGUACCGAAAACCGACACAGGUGGAUAGGUCGAGAAGACCAAGGCGAACGGGUGAGUUCUUCCCAAGGAACUCGGCAAAAAAGCGACCGUAACUUCGGGAUAAGGUCUGCCNNGGAUGUAUAGGGGGUGACACCUGACCAAUGCGAGAAGGUCAAAUACGGAGGGUUUUCGCCGCAAGGCGGAAGCUGGACUGUAUAAGCCCUCGUGAAUGUCGGCCGUAACUAUAACGGUCCUAAGGUAGCGAAGUACCUUGUCGGGUAAGUUCCGACGCGCAUGAANNUUUACUAUAGCUUGGUAUUGGGUUUAGAUUUUUAAUGCGUAGCAUAGACGGGAGGCUUUGAAGUGUCGCUUUUGGGUGACAUGGAGCCGCCAGUGAAAUACCGUUCUUUAAAAAGCUAAAUUCUAACCUUUGCGGCAAAAACGCAAGGAGACAGUGCCUGGUGGGUAGUUUAAUUGGGGCGAUUUCCUCCUAAAAAGUAACGGAGGAGUUUAAAGGUCGGCUAGGCGCGGAUGGAAACCGCGCUGAUAGCGCAAUGGCAAAAGCCGGCUUAACUGCAAGACGGACAUGUCGAGCAGAUGCGAAAGCAGAACAUAGUGA